rnacentral:rRNA from 1 species
UACGUAGGGACCGAGCGUUGUCCGGAUUCAUUGGGCGUAAAGAGCUCGUAGGCGGCCACUCAAGUCGAAUGUGAAACCUCGAGGCUUAACCUCGAGCCUGCAUUCGAUACUGGGCGGCUAGAGUCUGGUAGGGGGAUCUGGAAUUCCUGGUGUAGCGGUGGAAUGCGCAGAUAUCAGGAGGAACACCGGUGGCGAAGGCGGCUCUCUGGACCACAACUGACGCUGAGGCGCGAAAGCUAGGGGAGCAAACAGG